rnacentral:rRNA from 1 species
GAUGAACGCUAGCGGCAGGCCUAACACAUGCAAGUCGAGGGGUAGCAGGAUUAAGCUUGCUUAAUUGCUGACGACCGGCGCACGGGUGCGUAACGCGUAUGCAACCUACCUUAUACUGGGGUAUAGCCCGGAGAAAUUCGGAUUAAUCCCCCAUAGUACUAAUGAAUCGCAUGGUUUAUUAGUUAAAGCAUUGCGGUAUAAGAUGGGCAUGCGUCCUAUUAGCUGGAUGGUGAGGUAACGGCUCACCAUGGCUACGAUAGGUGGGGGGCCUGAGAGGGGCGACCCCCACACUGGUACUGAGACACGGACCAGACUCCUACGGGAGGCAGCAGUGAGGAAUAUUGGUCAAUGGGCGCAAGCCUGAACCAGCCAUGCCGCGUGCAGGAAGAAUGCCCUAUGGGUUGUAAACUGCUUUUAUUUGGGAAUAAACCUCUUUACGUGUAGAGAGCUGAAGGUACCAAAUGAAUAAGCACCGGCUAACUCCGUGCCAGCAGCCGCCGUAA